UACAGAGGUCUCAAGCGUUGUUCGGAUUCAUUGGGCGUAAAGGGUGCGUAGGCGGCGCGGUAAGUCGGGUGUGAAAUCUCGGAGCUUAACUCCGAAACUGCAUUCGAUACUGCCGUGCUUGAGGACUGGAGAGGAGACUGGAAUUUACGGUGUAGCGGUGAAAUGCGUAGAUAUCGGGAGGAACACCAAUUGCGAAGGCAGCUCGCUGGGACGUAACUGACGCUGAGACGCGAAAGCGUGGGGAGCAAACAGG
rnacentral:rRNA from 1 species